rnacentral:misc_RNA from 1 species
CUUACCAUAACAUGCCCACUGUUUAGCUCUAGGUUGAUUAGAUGAUCACAUGCCCUGCAAGGGGGAAGGCCAUUGGGCUCCUGAAAUACAUGAGGAGCUCUGUUAGUAAUUAUUGUAAUUCAAUCUUAGGGUCCAGUAGUGCUACAAUUGCAUUGAAUACAUUAUGUUGAGGUGACAUAGGAGUCUUGAGUCCAAUAAUUGCACUGACUUACCAUUCUUGCAGAAAUUCACACGAAUGUUUGUGAAAUCUCACUGGAUCGGGCCCAAGCUUCUUAGCCAAUUAAUGGCCAACACCGUUUCAAACCCAUGCAAGAUUAAGAUAAAUAAAUCAAUGGUAAAAGAAUAAGAGUCCAAUUCCAACUUAGCUCCCUUGUAUUUGCCCGGAGUGGACUUUCGAAUUUUUCACCAUUUGCCACUACCACCUUAAAAUUCUCUUGUUUCCCAAUUGUGCCACCAGCCUUAUGUAUCAUAGCAGAGUCCAUAAAAUUAUGUGUUAAAAUAGAAUCAAUUAAGAUCAGAAUAGGCUUUCCAUUUCAAAUUCCCUUAAAGUCACAUAGCAUGAGUGGUGAUGCUCAUAAUUGCAUGUAAGGAAAUUUCUGGUUGUUGCUUCUCAAGAUCAUGUUUAGACUCUGGCUCUUCGUUGAUAAUGGUUUCAAGGAAAAAGAGCUGCUUGCACUAAUAGCGACAAACAAAAGGUUCAUCGUAAUUGAAAUAAAGGUUGAGCCUCCUCUCAUCCCUCUGGGCUUGGCUCAAACUCUUAAUAAGUUUGUUUUCGACAUUGAUUUUGAGCAGAGGAUGACGGGAAUCACUCAAUGCAAGUGGUGGCCUGUAUGGAUGUUGCUGUUCAAAUAAGCGAGAUACUCUCAUAGGGGUAACAAGAGUCAACCUAGACCACAAAUGCGUUGUUCAACCCAUUGAUAUAUAGCUGCAUAUUCUGUGAUUGGAUUAGAUCACCUGCAAGUGAGAGAAGCUUCUCAAACCAGUCUACAUAAUCAGCCACCAUUCCUUUCAGCUUCAGUUUGGCCAAUUCUCUGGGUUUUUGAUCUAGCAGAGGUGGCCGAACUGCACAACUCACUCUUUCAUUUGAAGAAUUCCCAAGUCGUCUCCAAAUACUCCUUUCUGAAUUGCAUGUACCAAAUUUGAGCCUAGCCAUCCAGUUGAAAUGAAACUUUGCCAACCUUUUCCUCAUUUGUCUUUUGCUGGUGGAAAAAUUGGUCACAUCGGUUCAGCCAUCCACGAGGUUCAUCUUUCCCAUCAUAAGGGGCAUAAUCAAAUUUGGUGAAUUUUGGCACUUUGCUGCUACUGUCAAAUAGUCCCUUUUCAGAUCCUUCCAAGUGCGAUUUUCCCUUUUUGGCUAUAUUGUUGCUUCCUUCAACAGCAGAAGAGGGCUCCAGUUUGGUGGCUGCAAGAUCACUCAAUAACUUCUCUAGUCGAGCCUGAGUUUCCUGCUGCCUGGUUUAGUUCGUUGCUAGCUCUUCUUGGAAGAGGGUCAUAGGUUGAUCCAGUUUUUGCUGAUUCUGGUGGUUUUGGUUGUCUAUAAUGCCUAGCACUGAUAGCAAAAUGUUAUGGUCCUUAGCAUAGGGUUGUGUUAUGGUCUAGAAGAGGAAGGGUUAGGCUGUGGUUGAGGUAACAGUGAGUUGGUAUUUGGGUGUUUGCUUUUUCUACCUAUUGAUAUGGCUGGGCUCAAUUAAGAAAACUCAAAAUAAGUACUUGACUUUUGUGAAAUUCUGCUUGUCCUUUAUUGAAAAAUAACAACUUCAUACAUACAAGACUGGAGGAUAAACAACCUCCGAAAAUUUAGGGUAAUGGGAAGAAUAGGGGUCCACCCUCCUACAACUAAGAGAAAUGGGAAGAAUGGAGGUACAUCCCCCUACAUCUAAGCAAUUGAAAAUGCGUAACAGAAUCGGAAAUAACAAAAAUUGGACUUAGUGGCUGACAUAGUCUUUCCUAAUUAUCAGUGCAUGACCGUGCCUUAGUAGAAGUGUCUAGGAAUGGGGUCUGAGAAAUUCCUUUUCGAUGAGUGAAACUUUUGUAGACCAUAACAAAAUAAAAGGAAAGAAAGGGUUUGAGCAAAGGGAAGAUGAAUGUAGUGGUGACUCUGCCUCUCUUGCCCUGUGAAUGUCAAUUUGGGAGAAGAUAAUUCUUGUGGGUGAACGUAUUUAACGUCUGUUCAUCAUCAUGAACUAAUGAGCAUAUUGGUGCAUAGAUAAAGGUUAUGGAUUCAAUUGAAUGAAAUAAAACUUUAUGGUCUCAAUUGCACAUUCAAUAGAAGUGCAAGGGCUGCUUAAGGCAUUUACUCUUUUUUCUUUUAUUGGGAUAUAAUGGAAGAAUUUCGGUAAUGAACUUUUGCAUACCAUCUCUGUCCUCCUAUCCUAGCAAAUGAUUUUGAAUGGCACAAUGAGACAUAAAUUGAUUUUUGUUUUAAUAUAGGUAUAUGCACGAGAGGUUGAUAAGCACAAAAGGACAUUGCUUCUUGUGAACAAAGCAGAUCUUUUACCCUAUUCAGUCAGGCAGAAAUGGGCAGAAUAUUUUUGCCAUUGUGAUAUACUAUUUAUGUUCUGGUCGGCUAAGGCUGCUUCUGCAGCUCUUGAGGGGAAAAAGCUCAAAGAACCAUGGAAGGGACAAGCUACCCUUGAAGAGAUGGAUGACCCUCAUACAAAAAUAUAUGACAGGGAUGAAGUUUUAUCUCGUUUACAGCUAGAGGCGCAAGAGAUAGUCAAGAUGAGUAGGAAAUCAAGCUCCAGUACCACCAGCCCAUCGAGUGAUCAGUCUCUGGAAGGAAAUGAUGUUGGAAGUUCAGCUCCUAAGAAUGUGGUGGUAGGAUUCGUUGGAUAUCCUAAUGUGGGCAAAAGCUCCACAAUCAAUGCUUUGGUAGGCCAGAAGCGCACUGGAGUGACCUCUACACCAGGGAAGACUAAGCAUUUCCAAACACUGAAAAUAUCUGAGGAGUUGACCUUGUGUGACUGCCCUGGAUUAGUGUUCCCUUCCUUCUCAAGCUCAAGAUACGAGAUGAUUGCUUCAGGGGUGUUACCAAUUGAUCGAAUGACCGAGCACAGGGAGGCUGUGCAGGUUGUGGCUAAUAAAGUCCCAAGGCAUGUCAUCGAGGAUGUGUACAAGAUAAAUUUGCCAAAGCCUAAGCCAUAUGAGCCUCAAUCUCGGCCUCCUUUGGCAUCAGAAUUUUUAAGGGCUUAUUGUGCAUCUCGUGGGUAUGUUGCAUCUAGUGGACUGCCUGAUGAAACUAGAGCUGCACGUCAAAUUUUGAAGGAUUACUUAGAUGGCAAGCUACCUCACUUUGAGAUGCCACCUGGAAUGUCUGAAGAGAAAGCAAACAAUGAAAAUAAUGAAGAACCUAGCUUGUCCGAGAUGCACGACACAGAUUCAUCUGACAUCGAAAACACUCCAGAUAUUGAAAGUGAAAAUGCGCCUAUUAUUGAACAUGUACUUGAUGAUCUAAAUUCAUUUGACAUUUCCAAUGGACUUGCAUCCGAGAAGGCUACUGUCAAGAAGCCAAAUGCAUCACAUAAGCACCAUAAAAAGCCUCAGAGGAAAAAGGAUCGGUCUUGGAGGAUUGGAAACGAUGAUGGAGAUGGAAUGCCAGUGAUGAGAGUCUUCCAGAAGCCAGUGAAUGCUGGUCCUUUCCAGUCUAGGUGAGCCCAUUAAUGGCACCCCUUCAGGGUUCAUUGUUGAUUCUCAGGGAACUCCUCAUGGCUACAUAUUUAGUAAUUCGCUGUUGAUAUAAAUUUUCAUCGCUCAUAAUAUAUAGGGAAAAUGGGAAAAAGAAAUGAAUGCAUUCAAAUAGUUCUAUGCAGUUCACUGGCAAAUGCAUGUAACUAUUUGCAACUUUUCUGAUACGAAUUAGUUACAUAAUUUUCAGUCUUACUGUAUUUUUUUUAAAGGAAGGAGGCCUUGCUGUAUGUUAAGCAAUGAGGUUUAUUUUCAUUUCGUUAUGUAACUUUUAAUUUUUAGUGUUAUCAAUAUUUAUUUUUCGAUUAAAA